CACAUUUUGCUGGUACAGCUUUCGAGUGUCCAUUUCCUUUCGGUUUAAAUGAAGAAACGAUGAAAGCCCUAGCGCUGCCAGACCCCUGAGUCCGCGAGGGCACUGCUUGUGGGAGAGGUUGGAGUCCCUGACUGCCUAGAGCGCGCCACCGAGCUGCCGGCUGCCAGUGCUUAGGGACAGUGUAGUAACCUGAAAGUCCCAGAAGUGCCAGUAGCAGACUGAUUUAUUUCUGAGUUAUCUUUCUGGAGGAAUAUGUCACAUUACUAAAAAGAGUGAUAGGAAGCAUUAUUAUGUCUCUCCCGAAAACGCCAACCUCACCGUUAAAGUCCCCACCAUCUUAUGACCCUAGGAAGUCAAAAGUAUCUGCCGUCAAGGAGACAAGAGGACUUCCUGACAUAAGGGAGAAAAAAAAAUAUGGUGGAUAGUUCCAAACCCCUUCCUACUUCCCUUCAGAAUGAGUUCAUCCCUGAGGAAGUUCUGCUUUCUCUGAGCUAUGCAACCAGUGCUGGUCCUUGUCCAGAAAAUUUACUGCCUCUUACCAAAGUUAAAAUCCCUAAGGGUACGCUUCCACGUGCUGUAGACCAUGUCUGGCAGCACCCGAUUCGAAGGAAUAAAUUCAAAUACCUGAUUGACCAUCCUGACUCCCUAACAGGAGCUGCAAGGGAUAUUUCUUUUCUGUAUGAUGUUAAAUAUGUAAAAGAAGAGACUAGAGAGAAUGCAAUUUGUCCCCCACAUUUGGACCAUGCAUUACAAUCCAAAGAUGAUCACAAGAAACAUGAUGGUGUCCUCCUGUCUCACAAGCAAAUAUACUACUCUUCUCACGGAUAGUGAAAACAGGCUAUUGCUCUUCCCAUCCAUGAAACGUAAUAGAAGAGUGGAAGUGGUCCAACUGAGUGAAGUGAUGAACACUAUGCUAGAGAGGGCUGGUGUAGAAAAUGAGGAAUAUGCAGGACCAACCAA